AUUGAACGCUGGCGGCAUGCCUUACACAUGCAAGUCGAACGGUAACGCGGGGGCAACCCUGGCGACGAGUGGCGAACGGGUGAGUAAUAUAUCGGAACGUGCCCAAGAGUGGGGGAUAGCCCGGCGAAAGCCGGAUUAAUACCGCAUACGAUCUAAGGAUGAAAGUGGGGGACCGCAAGGCCUCACGCUCCUGGAGCGGCCGAUAUCUGAUUAGCUAGUUGGUGGGGUAAAAGCCUACCAAGGCGACGAUCAGUAGCUGGUCUGAGAGGACGACCAGCCACACUGGGACUGAGACACGGCCCAGACUCCUACGGGAGGCAGCAGUGGGGAAUUUUGGACAAUGGGGCAACCCUGAUCCAGCAAUGCCGCGUGUGUGAAGAAGGCCUUCGGUUGUAAAGCACUUUUGUCCGGAAAGAAAUCCGCUGGGAUAAUACCCUGGCGGGAUGACGGUACCGGAAGAAUAAGCACCGGCUAACUACGUGCCAGCAGCCGCGGUAAUACGUAGGGUGCAAGCGUUAAUCGGAAUUACUGGGCGUAAAGCGUGCGCAGGCGGUUGUGCAAGACAGAUGUGAAAUCCCCGGGCUUAACCUGGGAACUGCAUUUGUGACUGCACGGCUAGAGUGUGUCAGAGGGGGGUAGAAUUCCACGUGUAGCAGUGAAAUGCGUAGAAUAUGUGGAGGAAUACCGAUGGCGAAGGCAAGCCCCCUGGGAUAACACUGACG
rnacentral:rRNA from 1 species